rnacentral:rRNA from 1 species
GAAGAGAGAGUUCAAGAGUACGUGAAACCGUUCAGGGGUAAACCUGAGAAACCCAAAAGAUCGAAGGGGGAGAUUCAUCGUCAGCGGCGCUGGCUUCCGUGCGGCGCGCGAUGUCGCGGGCGUGCGGGCUCUCGGGCUCGUAUCGCUCGCUGGCACGCCGCCGCUGCGCGAUGCGUCCGGUGCCGUCGGCGUGCACUUCUCCCCUUGUAGAACGUCGCGACCCGUUGGGUGUCGGUCCACGGCCCGCUGUGUCGACUGUCUCGAGGCGCGUUCACGCGCGUCGCCGGGGCAGACACGUGGUUGCCCGGCCGGCUGCCCGGCGGUAUCGAUUUACCGACCUCGAAAGCAAAGAGCCGCACAAAGUGCGUACUUUUGGCUCGGCGGCAGGCUCGCCUCGCUCGGCGUUUACGGACCUGGUGCCGUUGUCGAGCGUAGUCUCGCGGGCCGUUAGUCGUCGAUGUCCUCGUACGGGCUCUCUUAUGUUCGUUUACGGACAUGCAAGUCGGCGACGCUACUGCUUUGGGUACUUUCAGGACCCGUCUUG